GAUGAACGCUGACAGCAUGCUUAACACAUCAGCAAUGGAUUGGUGGCGGACGGGUGAGUAACGCGUAUAGAACUUACCUCACAGUUAGGGACAACAUUUGGAAACGAAUGCUAAUACCAACUCCUGUGAGAGAGCUGUGCGGCCCAUUAGCUAGUUGGAGAGGUAACGGCUCACCAAGGCGAGGAUGGGUAGCCGGCCUGAGAGGGUGAUCGGCCACAGAGGGACGGAGACAGAGGCCUUAGUCAUACGGGAGGGAGCAGUUGGGAAUAGUGGACGAUGGGCCGAAGUCUGAUCAAGAAAUUCGGGGUGCACGACGAAGUUUUCGGAAGGAAAAGGGCUAUCAGUAGUGAUGCGUUACCAACAGAAGAAGUGACGGCGAAAGACGUGCCAGCAGCCGCGGUAAUUC
rnacentral:rRNA from 1 species